rnacentral:lncRNA from 1 species
AUUUUUUUCUGAAUCAUUCAGUCUAACUGGAGCCAGGAUCCACACCCGUCAGAGGCUUGCAAAACUCGGAAGACUUCAGAUAAAAUUUAUCUAUUCCUGCAAAAUAUUUAUUUAUUUAUUUAGUACUGAAAGAACGAAGGCAGAGAAAGGUAAACAACAGCCUAUGUAACCAAAACAAAGAAGAUAUUUCUUAAGUUUCCCAUGAAAUUCGGUAACAGCUGAGGUCAUGAUGUAAAACUUGGCCUAAUCGAUAGAAAAUCUUUCUUAGCCUUUAGUGGUGUCUGGAUCGAUUACACCUACCACUCCCUUACACCAUGACUUUAACUACAUUUAUUUCCAGAAAGCAGUUUCAACACAAUUAACUCUACACUACAUCACCAAAUGGAAAACACUGCCUCUUUUUUAUACUUAAUCCACUGUUCUCAUUGUACUUUCUCAUUGCCAUUUUGAUCGUUAACUGUAUCACUGGAUGUGGUUUAAUAAUUAGUCAUUGCUUCUAGAAGCCUUAGUAUGAUAUUCCUCCCUAUUCCUCCGGUGUUGUGGAGAAAAAAAAUACCUUUUUUAUGCCACCACCUGUUGAAAAUCCUUAAUACCAUUUCAAGAUAGUUGCUGUUUUAAUACAGGAUCACAAAAUUACUGGAUUAAGAAUUCAACAGAACAAUCAGAUGUUUAGGUUGUUUGAUCAUAGCACAAGAACCAGCAUGUAAUGAAUCUGAUACACGACAGUCUGAUAUAUAAAGCUGGAAAGAGAAAAACUAAGGCCACAAACAGGAAGCAUGAAUACCUUGCUAGGCAGUUCUGUGAAAAAUACUCCGGGGAUUCAGAUUCAGGGAAUAAAUGGCUUCCAGUCUGAGGUGAAAGAGAAUGUUUGUAACAUUACCCUUCCUUCAUACCUGAAGUACCUUAAGAAGAAAAGAUGCUACAGGUAUAUACAAGUCUACUGAAAAGGAGAAAACCUUAACUACUAUAAAGUACUUUGUUUUGCAUCUGUUCGAUGAAUGUGACCUGUGAAGAUAGAAUCAACUGUGUUACCUCAUGGGACUUAUUGCAAAUUCUAUAAAUUCUUGUAUGUCACUUAGCCCUUAAUCAUGGAACUAGCACAGGUGUCCCUCAGAGCUAGUAAUUCACCAACCCUUAGCUGUGCAGUUACUAGAAAUCAGUCAGUCCACUAGAACCAGAACUACUAGCCCUCUGUGGGAAUGAGAACAUUACAGUUAUCCAGUAUUUUAAUUUUUGGAGAACCUAUUAGAUGCACAAUGACUUCACCUUUGCAUGAGUAGGUUAGAACACAAAAGGAAUGGGUUCAAGACCUUUUAUCAGGCAUUCCACAGUUCAAUUAGGUUUUGUUAGUGUCAUACCCAGCUAAUGCGCUUUACUGCAAAAACUCAGUGAUUCUGUAUCUUAGUGUUAUUGCAGAUAGAAAUUAUGUAACAAUAAUU